AUGACUCUCGGCAACGGAUAUCUCGGCUCACGCAUCGAUGAAGAACGUAGCAAAAUGCGAUACUUGGUGUGAAUUGCAGAAUCCCGUGAACCAUCGAGUUUUUGAACGCAAGUUGCGCCCGAAGCCAUUUGGUUGAGGGCACGUCUGCCUGGGCGUCACG
rnacentral:rRNA from 1 species